UACGUAGGGGGCAAGCGUUGUCCGGAUUUAUUGGGCGUAAAGCGCGCGCAGGCGGUCUUCCAAGUCAGUGGUGAAAGCCCGGAGCUCAACUCCGGAACUGCCAUUGAAACUGUGAGACUUGAGGAUGAGAGAGGUGAGUGGAAUUCCCAGUGUAGAGGUGAAAUUCGUAGAUAUUGGGAAGAACACCGGUGGCGAAGGCGGCUCACUGGCUCAUUUCUGACGCUCAGGCGCGACAGCGUGGGGAUCAAACAGG
rnacentral:rRNA from 1 species